rnacentral:rRNA from 1 species
UGCAAGUCGAGCGAACAGACGAGGAGCUUGCUCCUUUGACGUUAGCGGCGGACGGGUGAGUAACACGUGGGUAACCUACCUAUAAGACUGGGAUAACUUCGGGAAACCGGAGCUAAUACCGGAUAAUAUUUCGAACCGCAUGGUUCGAUAGUGAAAGAUGGCUCUGCUAUCACUUAUAGAUGGACCUGCGCCGUAUUAGCUAGUUGGUAAGGUAACGGCUUACCAAGGCAACGAUACGUAGCCGACCUGAGAGGGUGAUCGGCCACACUGGAACUGAGACACGGUCCAGACUCCUACGGGAGGCAGCAGUAGGGAAUCUUCCGCAAUGGGCGAAAGCCUGACGGAGCAACGCCGCGUGAGUGAUGAAGGUCUUCGGAUCGUAAAACUCUGUUAUUAGGGAAGAACAAACGUGUAAGUAACUGUGCACGUCUUGACGGUACCUAAUCAGAAAGCCACGGCUAACUACGUGCCAGCAGCCGCGGUAAUACGUAGGUGGCAAGCGUUAUCCGGAAUUAUUGGGCGUAAAGCGCGCGUAGGCGGUUUUUUAAGUCUGAUGUGAAAGCCCACGGCUCAACCGUGGAGGGUCAUUGGAAACUGGAAAACUUGAGUGCAGAAGAGGAAAGUGGAAUUCCAUGUGUAGCGGUGAAAUGCGCAGAGAUAUGGAGGAACACCAGUGGCGAAGGCGACUUUUCUGGUCUGUAACUGACGCUGAUGUGCGAAAGCGUGGGGAUCAAACAGGAUUAGAUACCCUGGUAGUCCACGCCGUAAACGAUGAGUGCUAAGUGUUAG